rnacentral:rRNA from 1 species
GACGAACGCUGGCGGCGUGCUUAACACAUGCAAGUCGAACGGUGAAGCGAGUGCUUGCACUCGUGGAUCAGUGGCGAACGGGUGAGUAACACGUGAGUAACCUGCCCAUCACUCUGGGAUAAGCACUGGAAACGGUGUCUAAUACUGGAUACGACCAACCCUUGCAUGGGGUGUUGGUGGAAAGAUUUAUCGGUGAUGGAUGGACUCGCGGCCUAUCAGCUUGUUGGCGGGGUAAUGGCCCACCAAGGCGACGACGGGUAGCCGGCCUGAGAGGGUGACCGGCCACACUGGGACUGAGAAACGGCCCAGACUCCUACGGGAGGCAGCAGUGGGGAAUACUGCACAAUGGGCGAAAGCCUGAUGCAGCGACGCCGCGUGAGGGAUGACGGCCUUCGGGUUGUAAACCUCUUUCAGCAGGGAAGAAGCGAAAGUGACGGUACCUGCAGAAGAAGCACCGGCUAACUACGUG